rnacentral:piRNA from 1 species
UAAUUGUCGGGACAGUCAAUACUCCCUGG